rnacentral:misc_RNA from 1 species
AAGUCGUAACAAGGUUUCCGUAGGUGAACCUGCGGAAGGAUCAUUAUCGAGUUUAAUUCCCAUUUAAUUGGGCAUUGUGCAUUAACUUGCACGGUUCAAUUAUUGGGAUUCUACUUGUACACACCUGUGCACCUUUGACAAAAUCUCUGGUGGUCCGCCUCUCGAGGUGGGACUUAGGCGAAUUUUUUCGCUCGCCGGGACUCGUCAUUUUUUACACCUGUUUGUAUGUCUUGAAAAUAUUGAUUGCGCCGUAAUGGAGUAAUCUUAAAAAUAAAUACAACUUUCAGCAACGGAUCUCUUGGCUCUC